rnacentral:rRNA from 1 species
GACGAACGCUGGCGGCGUGCCUAAUACAUGUAAGUAGAACGCACAGUUUAUACCGUAGCUUGCUCCACCAUAGACUGUGAGUUGCGAACGGGUGAGUAACGCGUAGGUAACCUGCCUGGUAGCGGGGGAUAACUAUUGGAAACGAUAGCUAAUACCGCAUAAUAUUAAUUAUUGCAUGAUAAUUAAUUGAAAGGUGCAAUUGCACCACUACCAGAUGGACCUGCGUUGUAUUAGCUAGUAGGUGAGGUAACGGCUCACCUAGGCGACGAUACAUAGCCGACCUGAGAGGGUGAUCGGCCACACUGGGACUGAGACACGGCCCAGACUCCUACGGGAGGCAGCAGUAGGGAAUCUUCGGCAAUGGACGAAAGUCUGACCGAGCAACGCCGCGUGAGUGAAGAAGGUUUUCGGAUCGUAAAGCUCUGUUGUAAGAGAAGAACGGGUGUGAGAGUGGAAAGUUCACACUGUGACGGUAUCUUACCAGAAAGGGACGGCUAACUACGUG